UACAGAGGGGGCAAGCGUUGUUCGGAAUUACUGGGCGUAAAGGGCGCGUAGGCGGCCUGUUAAGUCGAACGUGAAAUCCCCGGGCUCAACCCGGGAACUGCGUCCGAUACUGACAGGCUUGAAUCCGGGAGAGGGAUGUGGAAUUCCAGGUGUAGCGGUGAAAUGCGUAGAUAUCUGGAGGAACACCGGUGGCGAAGGCGGCAUCCUGGACCGGUAUUGACGCUGAUGCGCGAAAGCCAGGGGAGCAAACGGG
rnacentral:rRNA from 1 species